rnacentral:rRNA from 1 species
GACAGAGGGUGCAAACGUUGUUCGGAAUUACUGGGCGUAAAGCGCGUGUAGGCGGCCCUGCAAGUCGGAUGUGAAAUCCCACGGCUCAACCGUGGAAGUGCAUUCGAAACUGCAGGGCUAGAGUCCUGGAGAGGAACGUGGAAUGCUUGGUGUAGAGGUGAAAUUCGUAGAUAUCAAGCGGAACACCGGUGGCGAAGGCGGCGACCUGGGUAGAUACUGACGCUGAGGCGCGAAAGCGUGGGGAGCAAACAGG